AAAGACAUAGAGUCUGGACUGAUUUGGGAAAUAGAUUGAACUUGUCUCUGUUUCUCAUCACUAAGCACUAUAUUGUAAACACUGUCAAGGGAAGGAAAUAGCUGCACCAUCAACAAGUUACUCCUAACCCCCAUGUAUGCUUCAUUUAACCCCAUAAGAAACUGGAAUACCUUGUUUUCACCAUCUUCUUGAAUUAUUCCAUUUUUAGCAGCACACACACAUCUCUGCCCAUGAUUUGUG
rnacentral:lncRNA from 1 species